CGCUGCGCACCGGGCCCCCCGGCCCGGCAGGGCGCCCGCCCCGGUGUCCCUGCGGGCCAGGCUGCGGUCUGAGCCCUCUCCCGCGCUGUCACCCUGGCGGGGCGGUGUCCCUGAGGAGGCUGGCUGCCAGGGCUCGGGAACACGGCGGGACAUGCGAAGAGGAAUGACGUAGCGCCUGGAAAAUGGCUGCACGUGCCGUGAAGGGCGAGGCCCAGGGAGGGCAGCUCCCGCCUGAGAGCCCCCAGGCCACGCGGCACUAAGGCUGCUUCCCAUUCUUGUGCCGGCGGCUUUUACCUCCGCACAUCCCACCACGUUUGUGCGUCACACGUGCAAUCGAUGCAUUGACCUCCUCCUUUAUUUUCCCCUUCUCCCCGCAGCCGGCCUCCCCUUCCACUGGCCCUUAGUCCUGGGGGGAAGGACAAUCACAUCAGCCGCGAAAUGAAUCACCCGUUCAACUUCUGUGACAGGCUUUGCUGAACUCAGCCGGGGAUUCAGAUGAGCACGGAGCUAAUCGCAUCACACCUGAGACCUUUCCAAGGGAAGCUGUUAGUACAUCAAAAAACCCGCCUUACCAGUCAGAUAUUCAGGUUGCCAGAUCAAGCACUGCAAAGAUUAAAAAUGCCAGAAAAUCUGGUCUGUGAAUACCUGGGAUUCAUCACAGCCACCUUUGAACUACCCCCUUCUUGACAGGACUGCGCUGGGGAGGGGGUGCCGCUGGAAUUCUCACCUCAUCGAAAUGAAUUAGGAGGCAGAGUUAACAGUGCAUUGGGUGGAAGAUGAGACAAACUGUCACCUUUCCGGCUGCUGUUUGCAAUUUCUGCAAGGCUGAAUAAACCAUGCAACACACAGCUGCUUUCAAAGUGGUGGCCGAAACUCUACAUUUCCUUUGGUAAUGAAAGUUCAGGCUUGGCAGAAUCAGAAGGAAUCCAACAUUGCAGAAACACUAAGCAGAAAGGAUCAACAACUUUUUGACGUUCAUUGGAAUCAGCUGCACAUCCAUGGAAAGAAAUAUCUCAACCUGCCUGAGGCUGAAAUGCUGUUGGGGAUGAUGGGACUCACCUGCCACCAGAUCUGGAUUUCGUUCCAGAAUAGAAGAGGGAAGCACUGGAGACUUUACACUGGAGACGGGACACCUGGGAGCAGCCUCUGUACCCUGCAGACCCAGUGCUGUGCACACUCCUGCAGUGAUCCAUUCUCCCUGUUUCAUUGGCCAGCACUUCCUGGAUCCCCAGGACCUGAUCCAGGGAUGCAAUGGGCUCUGCAGGGACCAGCAAGCUCUGCAUUGAUUCCAGAAUUGACCGGGCUCCCCUCCAGCCAGCUCCCAGCUGUAGUUCCAGGGCUACAACACACAGGCCCCAGAAACCAGCCUAGGAACCUCUCCCCCUGCUGUGCAACCAGUGGCUAUUGACUCUACUUCCUCCUCUACCCCCAGGUUCAGUCCAUGGAGUCUCUGGAGCUGUCACUGUUAAUCACUCUGCUCUCUUCAUUGACACAUGUUGACACCCAGGGAGUAACUUCAGCUUUCCUGUCUGGACUCCCCACUGGCUCUGUUUCCCAGCCUGAGUCGGGGAGUUCUCAGGCUCUUUCACUCCCGAGGAAUCUCUGACACUCUUCACUCAUGAAAACACCAAGAUUCCUUCAGACUAAGCGAAAAGCUGGGCAGAGGGAGAGGGAAAGAGCUGUGGUUUAAGUGUUUGCAGAAUGCUGGGAGGGUCUCUCUCAUUUCAGUGGUGCUUUUCUGCUGUUAGAGUGAAUCCAUUGUCUUAUUGUGAUUUUGCUAAUUUAUAAUAAACUAGUUUUAAAUAAUA